rnacentral:lncRNA from 1 species
UCAAGUGAAGUUAAUCUGAGGUGAAGCAAACAGAAAAUUGUGGAGGUUUUGUUGGUGUGCAACAGAAGAACAUGGCGCAAGAAACUAAUCACAGCCAAGCACCUAUGCUUUGCUCCACUGGCUGCGGAUUUUAUGGAAACCCUCGUACAAAUGGCAUGUGCUCAGUAUGCUAUAAAGAACAUCUUCAAAGACAGAACAGUAGCAAUGGUAGAAUAAGCCCACCUGCAGCUUCUGUCAGCAGUCUGUCUGAAUCCUUACCAGUACAGUGCGCAGAUGGCAGUGUCCCAGACGCUCAGUCGGCGCUAGAUUCUACGUCUUCAUCUAUGCAGCCAGGCCCUGUAUCAAAUCAGUCACUUUUAUCAGAAUCUGUAGCACCUUCCCAAGUGGACAGUACAUCAGUGGACAAAGCAGUAUCCGAGACAGAAGACCUGCAAGGACCCAGAGCAGAGGGCCUUGUUCCUCUUGAAUGUGAUCCUCCAUCUUCAGUAUCAGAUACGACACAGCAGCCAUCUGAAGAGCAAAGCAAGUCUCUUGAAAAACCAAAACAAAAAAAGAAUCGCUGUUUCAUGUGCAGGAAGAAAGUGGGACUUACUGGGUUUGAAUGCCGGUGUGGAAAUGUUUACUGUGGUGUGCACCGUUACUCAGAUGUUCACAAUUGCUCUUACAAUUACAAAGCUGAUGCUGCUGAGAAAAUCAGAAAAGAAAAUCCAGUAGUUGUUGGUGAAAAGAUCCAGAAGAUUUGAACUCCUGCUGGAAUACAAAAUCCUUUGACUAUCUGCAAACUAAACAUUGACUUGAGGUUUUUUUUCCUAGUCCUUGGGAAUGUAGAGCACCGUAUCUUGCAUAGACCGUUGAAUCAUGCAUGUCAUCAGAAGAAUAGAUUUUUGUUUUUGUUUUGAAAAUGACUCUGAACAUUUAUUUCCAUUGCAGUUUCUGUGGCUGAAAAGAAGUAUUAUACUUUUAAGAUCAUUUUAAUUUUAGUUGAGUGCAGAGGGCUUUUAUAACAAAUGUGGAGAAAUUCUGGAGGGCUGUGAUUUUUUUCCAGUAUUAAACAUGCAUGCGUUGAUCUUGCAGUUUAUUUCUCAUUGUGUAUGU